AGUAGUAGAAAUGCUGAGGAAUCCGAC
rnacentral:piRNA from 1 species